UAAAGAUUAAUGAUCAAGUGUACAAUUUGUGAUUCAUGAUCCUCAUGUAGGUGAGUCAAGUUUUUGCAUCAUUGUUCAAUUAUUUGUUGUCCUCCAACAUUUAUCUUUGAUGAUGCCUAAAUUGACUGCAUUUUUUUUGGUAGCUUACUGAUGGAAGAGAAGUUGUUGGAGGAAAAGUUGUAGUUAGCUGUAUUAUGUGUUUUUUGUUAUGUUGAGCUAUUUUGGAUUUACAUUUGCUUUGUGCUCAAAUAAGACACUUAGUACUUCCCACCUAAUGAUCACUCCUUUUGUAAAUGAAAUUUUUUCUAGCAAUAAGUAGUGCUUGUGGCUUGUGAUAUCCUUGACACAAGUUAAAAAUUUUGUGCUUAGUAUAUUGUACUUUUUAUUGAUUUUCAAAAAAUAAGUUAAUAAUGGUUGUUGAGGUGCCUGCCUUUUCAAACACGGUGAUAUAUAUUGAUAAAUAUCGGACUGUUAAAUCCGUGCUCUCACGGGCAAUUAUCAUCUAAUACUUAUAUAUACUUAUAUAGAAUAGGGAGUUUCUACUUUCAACAUUGUAGCUUCAUGUCAAUAUAUUUGAAAUUGAGGGCAUAUUUGACUUUUCAACUAUUUUUUUCUACGUGUCUUUCAUUCCUGACUAAGCACACAUAAUCCACCACUUCUAUAUUAUCUAGAUCCAUUAUUCUGCCACAUUUAUUCACUAUUUACUGUGCUACUAAUUCUCGCUCUUCGUCGUCUUCAUAUUUAUUCCCUUGAGUUCAAAGUUUUUAUCCUGUGCGAUAAUAAUUUAGAUGACAAAGAGGCUAAGGGGCCAGGAAAAGAUUGUCAAUUUUAGAUCACAUGCAAUUUGGAGGAAGACGGAAGAUUCUGAAAAGUGUAAUAGCGGGCUCAUUUGUGUGGUUUAAGGGUGUGAUGGAUGAGUCUCAAAGAACGAUCAAGAAUCCCUAAUUCAGCUUCAUAACUACUGCACCAACGUAUAUAAUAAAGGUGAUUCAUGAUCUGCACUAAUUACUAUGCUUCAAGCAUCCAACAAGCUAAAAAAGGUGUUGACAUUGUCUCUGGAAUAAGUCUGAAGACUCAUUUUGUUGGAUCAAAGUGGCGCCGAGUUUUCAAACAUAUUGCAAUUAAUCAUCCAGAUUAAAAGAAUUGUUUAGUACUUAUCUAGCAUCUUUACACAUUUUUCAUUCUUAUUAAUAAAGUUUUGUUUUGGAGUUUAUGGGGAACGCCUUUCUGCCUCACAAGGUGUUAAACUGGGUACAUUAUUGUCGUCAUCAAAUUAUUAGUAAUGUUUUGCUCUUUUUUAAAAAAUUUUAGUUUUGAAUUUAUGCA